UGGCGGAUCGUCCAAUGGCAGGACAAUGGUCUCUGGAACCAUUUAUCGGGGUUCGAAUCCCUGUCCGCCAGCCA
rnacentral:tRNA from 1 species